rnacentral:rRNA from 1 species
UACGGGGGGGGCAAGCGUUGUUCGGAAUUACUGGGCGUAAAGGGUUCGUAGGUGGCCACUUAAGUCAGACGUGAAAUCCCUCAGCUUAACUGGGGAACUGCGUCUGAUACUGAGUGGCUUGAGUGCAGGAGAGGAAUGCGGAAUUCCAGGUGUAGCGGUGAAAUGCGUAGAUAUCUGGAGGAACACCGGUGGCGAAGGCGGCAUUCUGGACUGUAACUGACACUGAGGAACGAAAGCCAGGGGAGCAAACGGG